AUUUUCUUUUGUCUGGUUUUAUUUUUUUUCCUCUGUUCGGUUCCUCUUUUUACAAAAAACGAAGGCGAAGGCGAAAAACAAAACGUAGAGGGAGAUUACGUAAUCGUGGCCAACAAGAUGAGGAGGAGCGGUAGGCGGUUGGGAAAAGAGCACAUAUCCGAGAACCAGAGCGCCGGGGACAGAACGGUUUUGACGGCGACGCGCAGACGAAAAGGGAAAGAGCAUUGCGUCGGGUUCAGAUUGGCGAUUGUGUGCAAGUUGACAAGACGGAAGCGUGCAGGGAAGAAGCGAGCCAAAGGUGAGUUCUGUUAGGUUAUUGGGUUGAAGAAGCAUUUGAUACAUGUGGACACCUUUGACGUCUUUGAGCUCCUCCUCCACCGCAACAACACCAGUGCCAACACUGCCAUGUCUUUGUUUUCCUCAUUCGAUGCAAAUUUUUCCGAGCUUUCGCCGCUGCCGCUUCGUACUCUGUAACUCAUCUUCGUGCCAUGACUUCCUCUCUGUCGCAACAUGCUCAAAUCAUUGCAAUCCUUGCGUCGCAGUCGCAUCGCAGUCUUCAUGCUUGGGAUCGGAAUUGCAAGUUUUCACCAGAGAUUGACCAGUCUCAGUAUUGGGAUCAACAGAUCCAGUGACCAAUUUCCUUCUUUUUCAUAUUUGGUCCCACAUAUUUGCUUGUCUUUGGUUAAUAACGACCCUGAAAUUGUGUUCUUCAGCCCCUGUUAAAUGUUAAUAACGACCCUGAGAUAUGUUGUUUUGGGAUUUAAAUGUCGCUGAACUGAUUCAUA